rnacentral:rRNA from 1 species
GACGAACGCUGGCGGCGUGCUUAACUCAUGCAAGUCGAACGGAAAGGCUCCAGCUUGCUGGAGUACUCGAGUGGCGAACGGGUGAGUAACACGUGGGUAAUCUGCCCUGCACUCUGGGAUAAGCCUGGGAAACUGGGUCUAAUACUGGAUAUGACCUUUCUCCUUAUGGGGUUUGGUGGAAAGUUUUUCGGUGUAGGAUGAGCCCGCGGCCUAUCAGCUUGUUGGUGGGGUGAUGGCCUACCAAGGCGACGACGGGUAGCCGGCCUGAGAGGGUGAUCGGCCACAUUGGGACUGAGAUACGGCCCAGACUCCUACGGGAGGCAGCAGUGGGGAAUAUUGCACAAUGGGCGGAAGCCUGAUGCAGCGACGCCGCGUGAGGGAUGACGGCCUUCGGGUUGUAAACCUCUUUCAGCAGGGACGAAGCGUAAGUGACGGUACCUGCAGAAGAAGCACCGGCUAACUAUGUG